rnacentral:rRNA from 1 species
GACGAACGCUGGCGGCGUGCCUAAUACAUGCAAGUAGGACGCAGUUGCGAACGGGUGAGUAACGCGUAGGUAACUACCUAUUAGAGGGGGAUAACUAUUGGAAACGAUAGCUACUACCGCAUACUAGUAGAUGGACCUGCGUUGUAUUAGCUAGUAGGUAGGGUAAAGGCCUACCUAGGCAACGAUACAUAGCCGGACUGGGAGGGUGAUUCGGCAAACUGGGACUGGGACAAGGCCCAGACUUCUACGGGGGGGCGGCGGUGGGAAUCUUUGGGAAUUGGGGGAACCCUGACCGAGCAACGCCGCGUGAGUGAAGAAGGUUUUCGGAUCGUAAAGCUCUGUUGUUAAGGAAGCGGUACUUAACCAGAAAGGGACGGCUAACUACGUGCCAGCAGCCGCGGUAAUAC